GGAGCCGUAGCUCACUGGUAGAGCAUCAGCUUCACAUGCAGAAGGUCACAGGUUUAAUCCCCGGCAGCUCCA